CGGGCGGCAGCGGGCGGCGUCGAGCGGGGCUGAGCGGUGCGGGCCGGUGCUCAGCAGCCGGGCGGGAAGGGGUCGGUACCCGCCGCUGUUAGAGCCGCAGCGGGAGGUCAGCGGGAGCGAGGAGCCGCGCCGCCGCCAUGGGGAACCGCGGGAUGGAGGAUCUGAUCCCGCUGGUCAACCGGCUGCAGGACGCCUUCGCCGCCAUCGGGCAGAACGCUAACCUCGACCUGCCGCAGAUCGCCGUGGUCGGGGGGCAGAGCGCCGGCAAGAGCUCGGUGCUGGAGAAUUUCGUCGGGAGGGACUUUCUGCCACGUGGCUCUGGCAUCGUGACCAGGCGGCCUCUGGUCCUGCAGCUGGUGAACGCCAGCACAGAAUAUGGAGAGUUCCUGCACUGCAAAGGAAAGAAAUUCACAGACUUUGAGGAGAUCCGUUUGGAGAUUGAGGCUGAAACGGAUCGUGUUACUGGCUCCAACAAAGGGAUUUCCCCAGUGCCCAUCAACCUCAGAGUCUAUUCUCCUCAUGUCCUGAACCUGACGUUGGUGGAUCUCCCAGGCAUGACCAAAGUCCCGGUGGGGGAUCAGCCCCCCGACAUCGAGUUCCAGAUCCGAGAUAUGCUCAUGCAGUUUGUCACCAAAGAGAAUUGCCUCAUCCUGGCAGUAUCCCCAGCCAACUCUGAUUUGGCCAAUUCUGAUGCCCUGAAGGUUGCGAAGGAGGUGGAUCCUCAAGGGCAACGCACUAUUGGAGUCAUCACUAAGCUGGAUCUUAUGGACGAGGGAACUGAUGCUAGAGAUGUAUUAGAGAAUAAAUUACUUCCUCUUCGCAGAGGUUACAUUGGUGUAGUCAACAGAAGUCAGAAGGACAUUGAUGGCAAGAAGGACAUUCAGGCAGCUCUGGCUGCAGAGAGAAAGUUCUUUCUCUCCCACCCAGCCUACAGACACAUGGCUGAUCGUAUGGGAACCCCCUACCUGCAGAAAGUAUUGAACCAGCAAUUGACCAACCACAUCCGUGACACCCUGCCAGGGCUGCGGAACAAGCUGCAGAGCCAGCUUCUCUCCAUUGAGAAGGAGGUGGAGGAGUACAAGAGCUUUCGUCCUGACGACCCGGCUCGCAAGACCAAAGCUCUGCUUCAGAUGGUCCAGCAGUUUGCUGUGGACUUUGAGAAACGCAUUGAAGGCUCUGGAGACCAAAUUGAUACCUAUGAGCUGUCAGGAGGAGCCAGGAUUAACCGCAUCUUCCAUGAACGUUUUCCCUUUGAGCUGGUGAAGAUGGAGUUUGAUGAGAAGGAGCUGCGACGGGAGAUCAGCUAUGCCAUCAAGAACAUCCAUGGUAUCAGAACCGGUCUCUUCACACCCGACAUGGCCUUUGAGACCAUUGUGAAAAAGCAGGUGAAGAAGAUUAAAGAGCCUUGCCUGAAAUGCGUGGACAUGGUUAUUUCGGAGUUAAUCAAUACCGUUAGACAGUGCACCAAGAAGCUCAGCCAGUACCCUCAUCUGCGUGAGGAGAUGGAGAGGAUCGUGACAACUCACAUCCGUGAGAGGGAAGGCAGGACCAAAGAUCAGGUUAUGCUUCUAAUAGACAUCGAGCUGGCUUACAUGAACACAAACCAUGAGGAUUUCAUUGGGUUUGCCAAUGCUCAGCAGAGGAGCAGCCAGAUGAGCAAGAAGAAGGCAGCUGGCAACCAGGAUGAGAUCCUGGUCAUCCGGAAGGGCUGGCUCACCAUCAACAACAUUGGGAUCAUGAAGGGUGGCUCCAAGGAGUACUGGUUUGUCCUGACAGCAGAGAACCUCUCCUGGUAUAAGGACGAUGAGGAGAAGGAGAAGAAGUACAUGUUGCCAGUGGACAACCUGAAACUACGAGAUGUUGAGAAGGGGUUCAUGUCCAGCAAGCACAUCUUUGCUCUCUUCAAUACUGAACAGAGGAAUGUUUACAAGGACUACCGACAGCUGGAGCUGGCCUGUGAGACCCAGGAGGAGGUGGAUAGCUGGAAGGCUUCCUUCCUUCGUGCAGGCGUCUACCCAGAACGUGUUGGGGACAAGGACAAAGCCAGUGAAGCGGAGGAGAAUGGAUCGGACAGUUUCAUGCACUCCAUGGAUCCUCAGCUGGAGAGACAAGUGGAAACGAUCAGGAACCUGGUGGAUUCCUACAUGGCAAUUGUCAACAAAACCAUCAGAGACCUCAUGCCGAAGACAAUCAUGCACCUCAUGAUAAACAAUACAAAGGACUUCAUUCAUUCGGAGCUGCUGGCAAACCUGUACUCCUGCGGCGACCAGAACACUCUGAUGGAGGAAUCAGCAGAGCAGGCCCAGCGGCGUGACGAAAUGCUGCGCAUGUACCAUGCCCUGAAAGAGGCCCUCAACAUCAUCGGGGACAUCAACACCAGCACUAUCAGCACCCCAAUGCCCCCACCGGUGGACGACUCUUGGCUGCAGGUGCAGAGCGUACCGUCUGGACGCAGGUCUCCCACGUCCAGCCCCACGCCGCAAAGGAGGGCUCCCGCUGUGCCCCCCGCCAGGCCUGGCUCUCGAGGCCCGGCUCCUGGGCCACCUCCUGCUGGUGGGUCAGCGCUGGGUGGUGCCCCCCCCGUGCCCUCCAGGCCGGGUGCCUCUCCUGAUCCCUUUGGGCCCCCGCCUCAGGUUCCUUCUCGACCUAAUCGUGCUCCUCCUGGUGUGCCCAGUCGUUCAUAGACUCCUCCGGAUCCUGAUACCAGCUUGUCAUUUGAGUUCACUGAUGAAUGGAGAAUUUCCAAUGACAAGGGACUCUUUCUCUUCUUCUCCUGUAUAUAGAAUAAGAAUGUUCCCUGCUAGCACUUGGACUCGGGUCCUUCUGCCAUGGGUGAACGAAUGCCAUCUCCACUGUUGCUUUUUUAAUACCCAUCUUUUUCCUUGCUAACUGGGCUCCACUACUUUGUGUGCGUGUGAAAAGAGCUCGUGUAGGUGGCAUGAGUGGGCUCUGGGAGAUGGAGGUGCGUGGUGGUGGCUGGUUGUGUGCUAUGUGCAUGUGAUACCCACGUGAAGUUCAGCUGUGUGCUUGUGCCACUGUUGGUGGGCAUAUCUGAUGUUGUGGAGGAUGAACUUAAAGACAAAUGUUGCUGUACUUUUCUCUACGUGUGUUUGCACAGACACGUGCUUUCACAUACAAACACCACGUGGUCUGUUUUCUUUCACAGGAAGGUUAUCCUGCAUGUAAUUAAGUACAAUUAAGGCUGAUUUUCUACCAUGCCUCUGUACAUAGCAUUUAUUCAGGAUUUAUGCAGAAGUCUGUGAUACCAAACACCUUGGGAGCUGCAGAUGAUGCCAGGCCCUGUCUCUGUGCAGUGAAGGGCUGCAUUUGGGCUGGAUGCCCACUGGGGCUGUUUAGGAGGAAGUAGUUUAGUUUGUCUGGAAUAGGAAGCUGUAAAGGCACUCUUCCAGGUAUUUAGUCUCUCCAGUUUAAAACAGUUUGACAAAAACUGUAGGUGAAAGUUUAGGCAAAUUCAAGGAAUUCAAUAAGAAAGUUUAAAUGAGAAUAAUUUAACUACUGGAAAAACGUGUGGAAAGCAGUGAUUGGUUCUCUGCUUUUUGGUAAGCCUGAGGAAAAACGAUGCAAGCAACCAGCAUCGCUGUAAGCAUAACUUGUGUGUUUUCAGACUUGAGUUGUUCAGGAGGUCAAAGUAAUGAUCUCAUGAUUAGUGACCUUUUAAAUGUCUUUGUCUUCUGGGCAGUGCUCAGUGCACCAUGGCACCUCCUGCUCUUCUGAGCUCUCUGGUCAUCUCUGACACUUAAUAUAUGGUCAGGAGAUGGUCAGAAGAUACGAAGCCUCAGUGGGUGCCAGGUCACCUCACCUGUGCCCAGGCAGCUGGUGCUGAGACCUGACUUGAGCAGGUGUGAGUGUGCUCAGGGUCUCAGUCUGGAUGUGCCAGCAGACCUGUGUAUCCAGCUGGGUGGGAGGACGAGCAGCAGCUGGUGGUGUGUGGGUAGAUAAAGUGUGCACGGCAGGGUUUUGGGUGCGUGUGAAGGUGAGGCUGUGAGUGGAUGUGAAGUCCUGCAUGGCCGAGUGCAGCCCUCCCCAGCAGUGCACACUUGUGUGGUGUUCUGGGAGGGGGGGCAUGCGAAUGUGGCUCUGUGCAAGCGCAUGUCUGUCUGUUCCACCUUCCUGACAGUCUGUUUGGCCUCUGCCUUGAACUGUCUGAACUGCCAUGUUGAUUUCAUGUUGUCUUUCAGAAUCACUAUCAGUGACCCCUGAGGACUGGCAGCCACGCAGAAGGGGCCCUGCCUCACCUACUCGACCUACCAUAAUCCGACCGGCUGAACCGUCCCUCUUAGAUUUAUAACUCGAGGCUGCAGACAGCUGGCGACGAGCGCCGUGCUGGCGGCUUCCCAUCCCACCUCCCUUCCACAGCCACAGUCACUCCUCAUCCAUCCCACACCUGCUUCCCUCUAUCCCUUCCCAGUGUGUGGUACAGCACUAGCCUAGCGAUCGAGCUCUUCGUCUCCACCCGUGCGUCCUGUAUUGCUUUGUGAGCGUAGUGUAGCCUUCAUUUGGUGGCACGGAUCCCAGAAACACGGGCUCCUGGGAGAGAUCAGCCACAGGGACAUCCCUCAGUCCGCACGUUGGCUGUCUGUCCUGUUCUCAUCUGCCUGUCUGGCCUGGAUCAGUGUCCUGCCUGCAUCACCUAGCUGUAGCACCACCUAGGACUGAGCUGUAGUGAAUUCCUUGUAGUUAAGAAGAUACAAGCGUGACUUAGAAGCAAAAACGCUGUCAAAAUGUGACGCUCUUAGGAACAGAUUAAAUGUCCUGUGUGUAUUAGUUCGACUUCCAAGGUGCAAAAACUCAUGUUGGGAACAGUGCAAUCUACCUUAUAUCAAAGCGAGGCAGGGAGGUGAGGAGGGGGAGCUUGAUGGGGAGCACUCAGACCUGGUGCUCAGCUCCCAUCAGAGCUGGGGGUGCUGCGGUGCGGCCGUGCUCCUGUCAGGCUGUGCUCCAUCGCAUUGGGCUCAGCCCCAACCCAGCGGGGAGAGGGAAUGGCUGCUGCUGCUCCCCCUGCAAACGGACACCCCAAUGUUUUCAGGGAGUUUUGCUGCGUGAUGUUCUAUUGAAGCUAUUUCUGCUUUGAAUAAGCACAUCUUUGUGUUUUUUUGGGUACUGUGGUGACUUCUUCCGUAGCCUUUUCUUGCAUGUGGAUGGUACGUGUUUGGGGAACUUGUAACUGUUGCUUAUCACAACUCAUCCCCCUGAGGCUUGAUUUCUACUCUUCAUGUUAUGUGUAUUAAAAAUAUGACAAAAAAAAAGACUUCAGCAUUAAAAAUAUACCACCCUGUGCAUCUGGGCUGUUGUGUCUCCACCAGCAGUGAGCCACCCGUGUCGCAGCUGAUUUGCAUUCAGGUUAUCUUUUUGCAGCGUCUUCGGUUUCUGUCGUGGCUCCUCUAUUGUUCCGAGGCCGAUUCCUUUCUGUAUUUUAACCAUUGUUUUACUGCUUCUCCCCCUCUCCCUUCCUUUCCCCUUUUCCUGUUUCGUUUCCAGCCGGCCGGGUAAGGCCAGCCCCUCCCGCCCGGAGAGCCCCAAGCCACCAUUUGACAUGUAGUGCUGCUCCCUGCGAGACUCUUUGCCUGCUCUUAGCUGUUCUGUCCGGGAGUGUUCGGACUCAGCUCUCACCCCUGGUUUGUUCUGUUUGUAUUUGUGACACACACCUAUCGGCUGUGACUGUAGUAAAGCUGUUUUUGAUUCCCAGCUGCUUCGAGGAGUUGAAAUUGUAGUAAUGAGAAACAUAUCUUUACUGUUAUAAAUAUCUAUAAAUAUAUAUAUAUAAAGAUGGAAAAUCUAUAUAUGUCCAGGUGUUUAAAGCCGUUUUGUGCUUCCAUGUGGAUAUUAGGAAACGCUUCAGUAGGGAAAGAAUAUCGCUAUACAUAUAUAUAUAUAUAUCCAUCCUGAGAAGUGAGCCAAAUCCCAGUGUUGAAUUUUUGAGCCGACUGUUCAGUUCUCUGCUGUGUGCAGUUGGGUUCCUGUGUUACCCCAGAGCUGUGUCUCGGUGCUGGUGGUAGCUGUGCUGCAGUCUGUGAUCUACUGUCACUCUCGUUACUUGGAUGAAAUAAACUAUUGUUUCUGUAUAAUGAAGGACUCUCCAACUAGAAUAAAACCAUCUCUCUUUCUCUUGCUCUU